AGGCUGCUGACUAACUUAAUGAACUGAACGGAUUAAAAUGGUGCAAGAGAAAAGGGCAUUUUUACACAAAAGGAAGCAUUUUCUGUGUUCCAGUUCAGCUGUUCCAAUGACAUUUGGUGGUGUUAUCAGUGUGAAUUAUACAAGCAAGUUUCUUUAUCCAGACUGACGCAUCAACCAUGAUCUAGCAUUUGCAAGAUGUGUAAUUACUUUGACUUUCAAGAAAACAUCUUCUGAUCUAAGGAACUUCCCAAGAUAUCAAAGCUGGCUGGCUCAGGAAUACUCUCACAGUGAUGGCAGAAGAGCAAAUCUGGAAGUUCAAACACUCAAAUGUGUUGUUGGAUUUCUGCAUGCAUCACAUGGGCUAACAACUGGUCAAAGCAAAUCACAUGGCCAAACUAAAAAUCAAAGGCCUGGAAGACAGACAAAGUGCUAUAUUGAAGGUUACAGAAGAAUAAAGAAGUUCUGAAUAGAACAGAAGCUUUCAUAAGGCAGGGGUUAUAACGACCAACAGAGACUCCACAAAACCAUUUACUCACAAGAGAAAAUAUGGCACGGAUUGGAUUAGAAGUGGAAAGACUAAUGCAUUUUUGUCCAUAAGGAUUAGAAGAAAAAUGGUUCUCUCAGCUCUGCAAGUGAGCACAACAAGCAAUCCAAAAGCAUUAUUUGUGUGAAGCAGUUUGUAGAAUUUGUUCCAUUUGUCACUAGAACUAGUGUUUGAAGCUCAGCAAAAGUUGAGUUAUGGUUAAGCCCCAGGGUCAGUGGCCACGUGUUCAGAGUAGUACCUUAGGUUUAAAGCUGAUUCACAACCUGAAAAACACUCAGUGGUGUUCUCUCCCAAAUUAUCAAUCAUUACCUUGUGGUGUUUUAAAAAGAGGAUAGAAGAUUGCUUGACCAGAAAAUAAUGACAAUAAAAAGGAAAUUAUA
rnacentral:lncRNA from 1 species